UUCUCCCUCUCCCACAUACAAGUGGGAAAGUUAUGAUGUUCUGAACAAUCUUCGUCCUCUAGACCCCAAAUCUACUGUCAACGGAGGUUUUUUGAGUCUUUUUGAUGUCACCAAAGAGACGUCGGGAAUCUACAUCUGCACAUCCACCAACAUAGGUGGCUCUGCUUCAAGCAACGUCACGCUCUCGAUUUUGUCACGUAUGUGGUCUUUUGAAUUUUAUUUUAGGACAUACUUCUUUGCAGCAUAACUCAUAUUUGUCUCUUGUUCCUUGACUCUAAAUGUCCUUCGAUCUUGUAGCACCCAUGAGCAUGAACAGUAUUGCAGGAAUCAUUUGUGGAGUUGCUGCCUUUUUGAUUUUACCGGCUAUCAUCAUCCUUUGCUGCUACUGGAGAAAAAAAAAGCAACCUGAGGAGGCUUAUGUGAUGGGAGUUCCUAACAAAGACCCAGUUGCUAAUGAUGAAAAUCACCACCCUGAGAGAGAAGAGCUUACUGGGUUAUAGUGAUACCAAGGGCCGCAUAGAUGGUUCACUAUGCGGAAAAGAGAGAGCACAAUGAUGACCACUGCAGUGACUUUGAUGACCAACGGAGAAACUAGAGCAGGGGUCCCCAGACGACGGCACGGGGGCCGGACCUGGCCUGCCCACGCAUUUGACCUGGCCCCUGAAUGAUACUAGAGAGAGGCACUUUUUUUUGUUUUUGCAUUAUUAUUUCUUUUUAGCCUGACCCCGUGAUCGAGACUAAUGGAAGCACUGGACUAGUGGAAAACUGGGAUGAAGUGGGUCUGCCCAACGGAAUCCCUAGAAUUGUUUAUUCACCUCAAUAACGCUUAUUUGAAUUAAAAUGUGAGCCAACCUUUUCUACUGCAAUCUCACUUUGCCCCAGUCAUAGAAUUUGAACAUGACACGGAACGGAAAAAUGACAAAAAGGUUAGGGAAGAGAAAAAUUGAUUCAGAAUGCAGGGUAUUUAACCUGCAGAACAAACAAGUAUGUUUUUGUUCAACAUAAAUAAAUGACUGUUUGUCUCAUCUGUCAAUAGAUGGUGGCGGUAUUCAAAGAGUACAGUCUACACUGAAAUUAUGAAUCACAUUAUAAAGAGAAAUAUGAUGGCUUGCAAGGGCAGAUGCGAGCAAACUCUCAAAGCUGAAAAGUGGACUGUUAGCUCAACAGACUGUGUUACUAUAUAUUUCCUGACUUUUAAUGUGAAGAACCCAGAGAGGUUUUUUUUAUUGAUUUCAAAAAUAGUUUUAUUAAAUAUUUGCUGAUUGUUAUCAUUAUUUUUAAUUUUUUUUUGGUAAAGAACCCAAUGAGUAUUAUUUAAUAUCAGAUCGGGUUAUGUAUAUUUGGUUAUCUGUAGCUUUCUGGGAAACAAUAAAUGUUUACAUUUAGACACCCUUACGAUCGUCACACUUUUUCUGUUUCAAACUGACCCUGGCCCCCGUUUAGAGAAUGGAAACGUCAUGUGGCCGUCACUGGAAAUAGUUUGGGGACCCCUGAACUAAAGCGACCGUUGUGACAGUGAGCGUUAUAUGACGACCGCCACUAUGAUGAUGAGCGCCGUUAUGACGAUCGCUAAGAUCGUCAUAACGGGGGGCGAAGACAAUGACUGCUGAAACGUAAAACAGAUCAUUAGUGCAACUUUAGAGGUCAUCAAGCAAGGUUAGAGUAAGACUAUCCAGCAGAUUAAAGAUGUAUUAAAACCACCUCUGUCUUGUAUUCACUGGUUGUGCGGAUGAUGGCCGUUAUCAAUCUAUUGAUCACAACUGAAAAAGCAAAAAAAAUGUUUUCUUCUCUUUUGUGCUUUGAGUUUUAUGUAAUGUCACAGCAGUUCUGGCAUGAUUGUAUUUCAGUCUUACACAUUACUCGACACAAGCAAUAACACAAAAUAGGUGACUCAGAUGCUGCAAUUUAAUGUGGAAGUUGUGGUUUUAACUUAAAAUGUUUGGCUGUGUCUCUUUUGCAUGUAAGUAUUGAUAUUCUCAUGUCUGAUAACCUCUGGGGUUGGUAACAGGGUCAUUUUAGUUUCAUUGUUUUAAUAAAGCUUCUUAUGUAUACAUUUAAA